UCCUGUGCCCUGGCGGAGUGGUUCAAAU
rnacentral:sRNA from 1 species